UACAGAGGUCUCAAGCGUUGUUCGGAUUCAUUGGGCGUAAAGGGUGCGUAGGCGGCGCGGUAAGUCGGGUGUGAAAUCUCGGAGCUUAACUCCGAAACUGCAUUCGAUACUGCCGUGCUUGAGGACUGGAGAGGAGACUGGAAUUUACGGUGUAGCGGUGAAAUGCGUAGAUAUCGUAAGGAAGACCAGAGGCGAAGGCGACUACCUGGCCUGUUCUUGACGCUGAGGCGCGAAAGCUGGGGGAGCAAACGGG
rnacentral:rRNA from 1 species